rnacentral:tRNA from 1 species
GGUGGUUGCUGGGGCAUGGUGGCACUCACGUGGCGCUGGCAUCGCCGCUACCGUGCUGGCCGUUCCAGUUGCAGUGCGGUCACUGC